rnacentral:rRNA from 1 species
UUUAAAGUCUAAUCUGCCCUAUGAGGAGUUAAAUGGCCGCGGUACUUUGACCGUGCAAAGGUAGCAUAAUAAUUAGUUUUUUAAUUGAAAGCUGGAAUGAAUGAUUGGACGAGAAAAUUUCUGUCUCAAAUUAAUUUUAUUAGAAUUUUAUUUUUAAGUUAAAAAGCUUAAAUAUUUUUAGAAGACGAGAAGACCCUAUAGAGUUUUAUAUAUUUAAAUAUAUUUAAAUUUUUAGAAUUUUAUUUUUGUUAUAUUUAAAUAUAUUUUGUUGGGGUGAUAGAAAAAUUAAAUUAACUUUUUUUUAUAUUUUUACAUUGAUAUAUGAUUAAAUGAUCCAUUUUUUAUGAUUAUAANAUUAAAUUACCUUAGGGAUAACAGCGUAAUUAUUUUUUANAGUUCUUAUCGAGAAAAUANAUUGCGACCUCGAUGUUGGAUUAAAAUAAAUGUUUGGUGUAGGGGCUAAAUAAUUAGGUCUGUUCNACCUUUAAAAUUUUACA